GCCCAUGUACCGUCGCAGGCCUUCUAUCCUGACAGACGUAAUGGAUGAUGCAGGUUCGACCCCUGCCAUGGGCUCCA
rnacentral:tRNA from 1 species